rnacentral:rRNA from 1 species
UACAGAGGUCCCAAGCGUUGUUCGGAUUCACUGGGCGUAAAGGGUGCGUAGGUGGCCAGGUAAGUUUGGUGUGAAAGCUCGGAGCUUAACUCCGAAAAGUCAUUGAAUACUAUCUGGCUGGAGGGUCGGAGGGGAGACUGGAAUUCGUCGGUGUAGCAGUGAAAUGCGUAGAUAUCGAGAGGAACACCAGUGGCGAAGGCGAGUCUCUGGACGACUCCUGACACUGAGGCACGAAAGCUAGGGGAGCAAACAGG